UGUGAGCUCGAUGAGUAGGGCGGGACACGUGGUAUCCUGUCUGAAUAUGGGGGGACCAUCCUCCAAGGCUAAAUACUCCUGACUGACCGAUAGUGAACCAGUACCGUGAGGGAAAGGCGAAAAGAACCCCGGCGAGGGGAGUGAAAAAGAACCUGAAACCGUGUACGUACAAGCAGUGGGAGCCUCUUUUAUGGGGUGACUGCGUACCUUUUGUAUAAUGGGUCAGCGACUUAUAUUCUGUAGCAAGGUUAACCGAAUAGGGGAGCCGAAGGGAAACCGAGUCUUAACUGGGCGUUAAGUUGCAGGGUAUAGACCCGAAACCCGGUGAUCUAGCCAUGGGCAGGUUGAAGGUUGGGUAACACUAACUGGAGGACCGAACCGACUAAUGUUGAAAAAUUAGCGGAUGACUUGUGGCUGGGGGUGAAAGGCCAAUCAAACCGGGAGAUAGCUGGUUCUCCCCGAAAGCUAUUUAGGUAGCGCCUCGUGAAUUCAUCUCCGGGGGUAGAGCACUGUUUCGGCAAGGGGGUCAUCCCGACUUACCAACCCGAUGCAAACUGCGAAUACCGGAGAAUGUUAUCACGGGAGACACACGGCGGGUGCUAACGUCCGUCGUGAAGAGGGAAACAACCCAGACCGCCAGCUAAGGUCCCAAAGUCAUGGUUAAGUGGGAAACGAUGUGGGAAGGCCCAGACAGCCAGGAUGUUGGCUUAGAAGCAGCCAUCAUUUAAAGAAAGCGUAAUAGCUCACUGGUCGAGUCGGCCUGCGCGGAAGAUGUAACGGGGCUAAACCAUGCACCGAAGCUGCGGCAGCGACGCUUAUGCGUUGUUGGGUAGGGGAGCGUUCUGUAAGCCUGUGAAGGUGUGCUGUGAGGCAUGCUGGAGGUAUCAGAAGUGCGAAUGCUGACAUAAGUAACGAUAAAGCGGGUGAAAAGCCCGCUCGCCGGAAGACCAAGGGUUCCUGUCCAACGUUAAUCGGGGCAGGGUGAGUCGACCCCUAAGGCGAGGCCGAAAGGCGUAGUCGAUGGGAAACAGGUUAAUAUUCCUGUACUUGGUGUUACUGCGAAGGGGGGACGGAGAAGGCUAUGUUGGCCGGGCGACGGUUGUCCCGGUUUAAGCGUGUAGGCUGGUUUUCCAGGCAAAUCCGGAAAAUCAAGGCUGAGGCGUGAUGACGAGGCACUACGGUGCUGAAGCAACAAAUGCCCUGCUUCCAGGAAAAGCCUCUAAGCAUCAGGUAACAUCAAAUCGUACCCCAAACCGACACAGGUGGUCAGGUAGAGAAUACCAAGGCGCUUGAGAGAACUCGGGUGAAGGAACUAGGCAAAAUGGUGCCGUAACUUCGGGAGAAGGCACGCUGAUAUGUAGGUGAAGCGACUUGCUCGUGGAGCUGAAAUCAGUCGAAGAUACCAGCUGGCUGCAACUGUUUAUUAAAAACACAGCACUGUGCAAACACGAAAGUGGACGUAUACGGUGUGACGCCUGCCCGGUGCCGGAAGGUUAAUUGAUGGGGUCAGCGCAAGCGAAGCUCUUGAUCGAAGCCCCGGUAAACGGCGGCCGUAACUAUAACGGUCCUAAGGUAGCGAAAUUCCUUGUCGGGUAAGUUCCGACCUGCACGAAUGGCGUAAUGAUGGCCAGGCUGUCUCCACCCGAGACUCAGUGAAAUUGAACUCGCUGUGAAGAUGCAGUGUACCCGCGGCAAGACGGAAAGACCCCGUGAACCUUUACUAUAGCUUGACACUGAACAUUGAGCCUUGAUGUGUAGGAUAGGUGGGAGGCUUAGAAGUGUGGACGCCAGUCUGCAUGGAGCCGACCUUGAAAUACCACCCUUUAAUGUUUGAUGUUCUAACGUUGACCCGUAAUCCGGGUUGCGGACAGUGUCUGGUGGGUAGUUUGACUGGGGCGGUCUCCUCCUAAAGAGUAACGGAGGAGCACGAAGGUUGGCUAAUCCUGGUCGGACAUCAGGAGGUUAGUGCAAUGGCAUAAGCCAGCUUGACUGCGAGCGUGACGGCGCGAGCAGGUGCGAAAGCAGGUCAUAGUGAUCCGGUGGUUCUGAAUGGAAGGGCCAUCGCUCAACGGAUAAAAGGUACUCCGGGGAUAACAGGCUGAUACCGCCCAAGAGUUCAUAUCGACGGCGGUGUUUGGCACCUCGAUGUCGGCUCAUCACAUCCUGGGGCUGAAGUAGGUCCCAAGGGUAUGGCUGUUCGCCAUUUAAAGUGGUACGCGAGCUGGGUUUAGAACGUCGUGAGACAGUUCGGUCCCUAUCUGCCGUGGGCGCUGGAGAACUGAGGGGGGCUGCUCCUAGUACGAGAGGACCGGAGUGGACGCAUCACUGGUGUUCGGGUUGUCAUGCCAAUGGCACUGCCCGGUAGCUAAAUGCGGAAGAGAUAAGUGCUGAAAGCAUCUAAGCACGAAACUUGCCCCGAGAUGAGUUCU
rnacentral:rRNA from 1 species